rnacentral:rRNA from 1 species
AGAGUUUGAUCAUGGCUCAGGGCGAACGCUGGCGGCGUGCCUAAUACAUGCAAGUCGAACGAGAAUUUCUUACACCGAGUGCUUGCGCUCAUCGUAAGAAAUUCGAGUGGCGGACGGGUGAGUAACACGUGGGUAACCUGCCCAAAAGAAGGGGAUAACAUUUGGAAACAAAUGCUAAUACCGUAUAACCAUGAUGACCGCAUGGUCAUUAUGUAAAAGGUGGUUUUGCUAUCGCUUUUGGAUGGACCCGCGGCGUAUUAACUAGUUGGUAGGGUAACGGCCUACCAAGGUGAUGAUACGUAGCCGAGUUGAGAGACUGAUCGGCCACAAUGGGACUGAGACACGGCCCAUACUCCUACGGGAGGCAGCAGUAGGGAAUCUUCCACAAUGGGCGCAAGCCUGAUGGAGCAACGCCGCGUGAAUGAAGAAGGUCUUCGGAUCGUAAAAUUCUGUUGUUAGAGAAGAAUAUGAGUAAUAGUAACUGAUUAUUCACUGACGGUAUCUAACCAGCAAGUCACGGCUAACUACGUGCCAGCAGCCGCGGUAAUACGUAGGUGGCAAGCGUUGUCCGGAUUUAUUGGGCGUAAAGGGAACGCAGGCGGUUUUUUAAGUCUGAUGUGAAAGCCUUCGGCUUAACCGGAGAUGUGCAUUGGAAACUGGAAGACUUGAGUGCAGAAGAGGAGAGUGGAACUCCAUGUGUAGCGGUGAAAUGCGUAGAUAUAUGGAAGAACACCAGUGGCGAAAGCGGCUCUCUGGUCUGUAACUGACGCUGAGGUUCGAAAGCAUGGGUAGCGAACAGGAUUAGAUACCCUGGUAGUCC